UUGAAAACUAAAUUUAAAAAUAGCCAUAUCUUUUAAUAACAAAAUUAACACAUACAUAUAAAUAUCUAUACAAUUAAAAACCUAAUGCAUUUAAAUUAAAAAGUUACUAAAUGAAAGUAAAAGCAAUAGUUACAUACAUUAGACAAACUUAUGUGCAACAUUUUUGAAGAGCAGUGGUGCAAAAUAUACCACAGUAUUGAAAGCAGCUGAGUGAUUUUAUAAUUUAAGAUGAGGCUAGUGAUCUUAGAUUCAGCGGACUCAGUUGGUGUUUGGGCCGCCAAAUAUGUAAUGAAACGCAUACAGGAUUUUAAACCCGGUCCUAAUAAAUAUUUUGUUCUGGGUCUACCGACUGGCAGCACGCCACUUGGUAUGUACAAGAAACUUAUCGAAUUCCAUAAAGCCGGAAAAGUGUCUUUUGAGUAUGUGAAGACUUUCAAUAUGGACGAAUAUGUGGGCAUCCCUCGCGAUCAUCCCGAAAGCUAUCACUACUUCAUGUGGCAUCAUUUCUUUAAACACAUCAAUAUCGAUCCGAAAAAUGUGCAUAUUUUGGAUGGUAACGCGCAGGAUUUAUUUGCCGAAUGCCAGCAAUUCGAGGCGAUGAUUAAGGAAGCGGGAGGCAUUGAACUAUUCGUUGGCGGUAUUGGACCCGACGGACAUAUCGCCUUCAAUGAACCGGGCAGUUCGUUAGUGUCACGCACACGCGUGAAAACAUUGGCGCAGGAUACAUUGGAGGCGAAUGCACGUUUCUUCGACAACGAUAUAAGUAAAGUGCCCAAGCAGGCAUUGACAGUGGGUGUGGGCACGGUGAUGGAUGCGAAAGAGGUGAUGAUAUUGAUCACGGGCACACAUAAAGCGUUCGCUUUGUACAAAGCGAUAGAGGAGGGCGUAAAUCAUAUGUGGACUGUAAGUGCCUUUCAGCAGCAUCCCAACACACUGAUGCUUUGUGAUGAGGAUGCUACGUUGGAGUUGCGUGUCAAGACGGUGAAAUAUUUUAAGAAUGAAUCCCCGUCACUGAUCUCAGCCAUUUUUAGUGCUUAAUUUAACACGUGUGCAAAUCCUACUCUUAUGUACUAUAUUUGAGAAAUCUUAGAAGAUGGAAAAUUUCUUGGUGAUGGCGCUAUUUCUAGACCUAUUGGUGUUUGGGCCUGAUGGAAGUGCAUUGCAAAUUGGUGGAAGGUGUCGAAUAAAUUACAAGGUUUCGAUUUUAUUUUGUAUGUACUUUGGAUACAAUUCAACCCAGGGAAUUAAAAUUUAGUUAGUAUGAAAUUAAUGUUCAUAUUGCAUUUUUUGUAAUAAAAAAAGAAAAAGUAAUAAAUUUGUAAGGCAAGAAUAUAAUUUAA